GUUCUGGGCGAUGAGGCAACCGGCUGGGACGGCUGUGUCUUGCACGGUGGCACGGCGCUUCUGCGCGCAGCCUCCGGGUCCUCCGGGCUCCAGCACUGAGAAAGUGCGCAGAGGCGCGGCGACCCGUGUCAGGUGGCCGGCCACCGCGCGGCCCCCGAAGUGCGACACAAAGGUGCGCACGGCCGCUCGUUGGCUGGCGCCAGGGGUCGCGGGAGGCGGAGGCCAGCUCUCUUGCUCCCGGCGGCCGGCGCGUACCCGGGCGCAGUCCCGCGAGGGACGCGUGCGCGCGAGUGGGUAAGGCAGCAGCAGGUCAUCGUCGCGGGAAACCCUGUAGGGACGGGGCGAUCGUGAGCUCAGAGGGCUGUGCCCGAGAGCACGCAGGACAGGGGCACCCCAGCCAGCUGGCCCUCGCAGCUGCACUCACCCCGAGUCCAGGCUGCACCACACCACUCCUAGCAAGCCGAGCAGCGAGGGCAGGAAGAGCGGCCCGCGUAUCCUGGGCGACGCCAUAUUGGAUUGGGACUCUGGUCACGUGGGCCUGCCCCAUGUGACUCCAGGCCAGCUGGUGGGUACUUCCAGGUACUAAGGGCCUGGACACCUUGUUUAUGAGAUUAAGCCUCCAAAUUCCAUCAGGAAGGGGCAGUACAAACAAACAAACAUUGUAAGAAAGAAGCUUGGUUAGUGGGGCCAGAGAGAUGGCUGAGCAGUUAAGGGAACUGUCUGCGCUUCCAGAGGACCGGGAUUUGAUUCCCAACACACACAUGGUUUCCUUCUUCCUGAACGCUCACCGCAUCCUGUGUAUUGGGUGUAAACAGCUUAGGUGCAAGAAUUUAAAACAACGGUAGCAAACUUCUGCUCUCCAGGGUCUCCCAUUGUGCUGUAAGCCUGUAUUUAAGACCUUCCUCCCUCCUUCAAUA